GCCUACGGGGCGCAGCAGUGAGGAAUAUUGGUCAAUGGGCGAGAGCCUGAACCAGCCAAGUCGCGUGAAGGAUGACGGCCCUACGGGUUGUAAACUUCUUUUGUCAGGGAGCAAUUGGGCCCACGCGUGGGCUUAGCGAGAGUACCUGAAGAAAAAGCAUCGGCUAACUCCGUGCCAGCAGCCGCGGUAAUACGGAGGAUGCGAGCGUUAUCCGGAUUUAUUGGGCGUAAAGCGAGUGCAGGCGGCUCAAAAA
rnacentral:rRNA from 1 species